CCAUUUGACAAAUUGCCUACGUACUCCUUAUGGAGAUCAAGCCGUCUUGUAGUUCAGUGAUUGCGAGUUGCUUCGUUUAGUGAUAGUAUUUAUUGAGAUGCAUCGCGUUCCAGGUCCUAGAAUUUUUUACGCCUUGCAUGUUGGCUAUCUCGUUGGAGCCUGGUCGGACGACUUUUUCGAUUUUAUAGGGUCCUUCCCAGUUUGCUCCAAGUUUUCCCGCGUUUCGUUCAGCGGUGUUUUGG
rnacentral:lncRNA from 1 species